rnacentral:rRNA from 1 species
AUUGAACGCUGGCGGCAUGCUUUACACAUGCAAGUCGAACGGCAGCACAGGGAGCUUGCUCCUGGGUGGCGAGUGGCGAACGGGUGAGUAAUGUAUCGGAACGUGCCUGGUAGUGGGGGAUAACUACUCGAAAGAGUGGCUAAUACCGCAUGAGAUCUUUGGAUGAAAGCGGGGGACCUUCGGGCCUCGUGCUACUGGAGCGGCCGAUAUCAGAUUAGGUUGUUGGUGGGGUAAAGGCCUACCAAGCCUGCGAUCUGUAGCUGGUCUGAGAGGACGACCAGCCAACCGGGGCCUGAGACCCGGCCCAGCCCCCUAGGGGAGGCAGGGGGGGGGAAUUUUGGAAAAGGGGCGCAAGCCUGACCCAGCAAGCCCGCGUGAAGGACGAAGGCCUUCGGGUUGUAAACUGCUUUUUUAAAGAAAAAAAAUUUUUUGGUUAAUAUUUAGGGUUCAUGGGGGUACUGAAAGAAUAAGCACCGGCUAACUACGG